rnacentral:rRNA from 1 species
CGGUAAUUCCAGCUCCAAUAGCGUAUACUAACGUUGUUGCAGUUAAAAAGCUCGUAGUUGGAUUUCUGAUCUUUGCCAAUGGUUGUGUCGCCGCGUGCGAGGCGCCUUGCGCAGAGGUCAACAUAUGUCACGAGCCAGUGUGAUCUAUUCAUUUAGGUCCACUGGGUAAUGACUCGUUUACUUUGAGAAAAUUAGAGUGUUCAAAGCAGGCAUUUGCCUUGAAUAUGUUAGCAUGGAAUAAUAGCAUAGGACUUCGGUUCUAUUUGUUGGUUGUUCGAGAACUGGAGUAAUGAUUGAUAGGGACGGUUGGGGGCAUCCGUAUUCUCAAGCGAGAGGUGAAAUUCUUGGACCUUGGGAAGACGAACAGCUGCGAAAGCGUUUGCCUAGGACGUUCUCUUUAAUCAAGAACGAAAGUUGGGGGAUCGAAGACGAUCAGAUACCGUCGUAGUCUCAACUAUAAACUAUGCCAGCUAGGGAUCGGUGGGUCUUUGUCACGAGUCCAUCGGCACCUUACGAGAAAUCAAAGCAUUUGGGUUCCGGGGGGAGUAUGGUCGCAAGGCUGAAACUUAAAGGAAUUGACGGAAGGGCACCACCAGGAGUGGAGCCUGUGGCUUAAUUUGACUCAACACGGGAAAACUUACCAGGUCCGGACAUAGUAAGGAUUGACAGAUUGAAAGCUCUUUCUUGAUUCUAUGGGUGGUGGUGCAUGGCCGUUCUUAGUUGGUGGAGUGAUUUGUCUGGUUAAUUCCGUUAACGAACGAGACCCGCGCCUGCUAAAUAGUCGGCCUCACUUCUGUGGGUGUUGUACUUCUUAGAGGGACCAUCCUGGGUAUACCGGAAGGAAGUUGCGGGCAAUAACAGGUCUGUGAUGCCCUUAGAUGUUCUGGGCUGCACACGGGCUACACUGCAAGAUACAACAAGCGUCGAUCACGCCUGACUGGAAGGUCCGGCCAAUCUUUGAAUAUCUUGCGUGAUUGGGAUAGACCAUUGCAAUUAUUGGUCUUCAACGAGGAAUUCCUAGUAAACGCGUGUCAACAACACGCAUUGAUUACGUCCCUGCUCCUUGUACACACCGCCC